GACGAACGCUGGCGGCGCGCCUAACACAUGCAAGUCGAACGAGCGAGAGAGAGCUUGCUUUCUCGAGCGAGUGGCGAACGGGUGAGUAACGCGUGAGGAACCUGCCUCAAAGAGGGGGACAACAGUUGGAAACGACUGCUAAUACCGCAUAAGCCCACGACCCGGCAUCGGGUAGAGGGAAAAGGAGCAAUCCGCUUUGAGAUGGCCUCGCGUCCGAUUAGCUAGUUGGUGAGGUAACGGCCCACCAAGGCGACGAUCGGUAGCUGGACUGAGAGGUUGAACGGCCACAUUGGGACUGAGACACGGCCCAGACUCCUACGGGAGGCAGCAGUGGGGAAUAUUGCACAAUGGGGGAAACCCUGAUGCAGCGACGCCGCGUGGAGGAAGAAGGUCUUCGGAUUGUAAACUCCUGUUGUGGAGGAAGAUAAUGACGGUACUCAACAAGGAAGUGACGGCUAACUACGUG
rnacentral:rRNA from 1 species